rnacentral:rRNA from 1 species
GUUGACCUCGGAUCAGGUAGGAAUACCCGCUGAACUUAAGCAUAUCAAUAAGCGGAGGAAAAGAAACCAACAGGGAUUGCCUCAGUAACGGCGAGUGAAGCGGCAACAGCUCAAAUUUGAAAUCUGGCCGCAAGGUCCGAGUUGUAAUUUGCAGAGGAUGCUUUUGGCGAGGUGCCUUCCGAGUUCCCUGGAACGGGACGCCAUAGAGGGUGAGAGCCCCGUACGGUAGGAUCACCGAGCCUCUGUAAAGCUCCUUCGACGAGUCGAGUAGUUUGGGAAUGCUGCUCUAAAUGGGAGGUGUACGUCUUCUAAAGCUAAAUACCGGCCAGAGACCGAUAGCGCACAAGUAGAGUGAUCGAAAGAUGAAAAGCACUUUGAAAAGAGGGUUAAAAAGUACGUGAAAUUGUUGAAAGGGAAGCAUUCAUGACCAGACUUGGGCUUGGUUGAACAUCCGGCGUUCUCGCCGGUGCACUCUGCCAGUCCAGGCCAGCAUCAGUUUGCCCCGGGGGACAAAGGCAGCGGGAAUGUAUCUCUCUCCGGGGAGUGUUAUAGCCCGUUGUGUAAUGCCCUGGGGCGGACUGAGGAACGCGCUUCGGCACGGAUGCUGGCGUAAUGGUCAUCAAUGACCCGUCUUGAAACACGGACCAAGGAGUCGUCUUCGUAUGCGAGUGUUCGGGUGUCAAACCCCUACGCGUAAUUAAAGUGAACGUAGGUGAGAGCUUCGGCGCAUCACCGACCGAUCCUGAUGUUCUCGGAUGGAUUUGAGUAAGAGCAUACGGGGCCGGACCCGAAAGAAGGUGAACUAUGCCUGUAUAGGGUGAAGCCAGAGGAAACUCUGGUGGAGGCUCGCAGCGGUUCUGACGUGCAAAUCGAUCGUCAAAUAUGGGCAUGGGGGCGAAAGACUAAUCGAACCUUCUAGUAGCUGGUUUCCGCCGAAGUUUCCCUCAGGAUAGCAGUGUUGAACUCAGUUUUAUGAGGUAAAGCGAAUGAUUAGGGACCAGGGGGCGCUAUUUAGCCUUCAUCCAUUCUCAAACUUUAAAUAAGUAAGAAGCUCUUGUUACUUAUUUAAACGUGGGCAUUCGAAUGUAUCAACACUAGUGGGCCAUUUUUGGUAAGCAGAACUGGCGAUGCGGGAUGAACCGAACGCGAGGUUAAGGUGCCAGAGUAGACGCUCAUCAGACACCACAAAAGGUGUUAGUACAUCUUGACAGCAGGACGGUGGCCAUGGAAGUCGGAAUCCGCUAAGGACUGUGUAACAACUCACCUGCCGAAUGUACUAGCCCUGAAAAUGGAUGGCGCUCAAGCGUCUCACCCAUACCUCGCCCUCAGGGUUGAAAUGAUGCCCUGAGGGGUAGGCGGACGUAGAGGUCAGUGACGAAGCCUAGGGCGUGAGCCCGGGUAGAACGGCCUCUAGUGCAGAUCUUGGUGGUAGUAGCAAA